rnacentral:rRNA from 1 species
GUGGGGAAUCUUCCGCAAUGGACGAAAGUCUGACGGAGCAACGCCGCGUGAGUGAUGAAGGUCUUCGGAUUGUAAAGCUCUGUUAAUCGGGACGAAAGAGCCUAGUGUGAAUAAUGCUAGGAAGUGACGGUACCGGAAUAGAAAGCCACGGCUAACUACGUGCCAGCAGCCGCGGUAAUACGUAGGUGGCAAGCGUUGUCCGGAAUUAUUGGGCGUAAAGCGCGCGCAGGCGGAUCUGCCAGUCUGUCUUAAAAGUUCGGGGCUUAACCCCGUGAUGGGAUGGAAACUACAGAUCUAGAGUAUCGGAGAGGAAAAUGGAAUUCCUAGUGUAGCGGUGAAAUGCGUAGAUAUUAGGAAGAACACCAGUGGCGAAGGCGACUUUCUGGACGAAAACUGACGCUGAGGCGCGAAAGCCAGGGGAGCGAACGGGAUUAGAAACCCCAGUAGUCC